GACGAACCGUACGAACGUUAUUCGGAAUCACUGGGCUUAAAGGGUGCGUAGGCGGCGGCGCAAGUUGGGUGUGAAAUCCCUCGGCUCAACCGAGGAACUGCGCUCAAAACUGCGUCGCUUGAGGAAGAUAGAGGUGAGUGGAACUUAGGGUGGAGCGGUGAAAUGCGUUGAUAUCCUAAGGAACACCAGUGGCGAAAGCGACUCACUGGGUCUUCUCUGACGCUGAGGCACGAAAGCUAGGGUAGCGAACGGGAUUAGAACU
rnacentral:rRNA from 1 species